UGCAUUUUUAGCUGUCUUUCAUACUGCAUGUUUAAAUCUCCGGUUUAGGUUGAGCGGAAUUAAACACCAGCCUUGUUUGGUAAACACCUUUUUGGGCCUUCAAAUCUUGAUUGAGGACAGCCCUGUGAUGAUACAGAGUACAUUACCAUAAUGGAUUCAGUUACGGUCACCCUACCUUAUGGCUGCACAGCGUGAGGGGAUUUUUGUUUCAUUGUUUUCUUUCAUGCUUGAAAGCUGAAGGAUUGAGGGUCGAGGACAUCCAACGAGUCUCUCUGUCAACAUUAGGUCGAAUCCUAAAGAAAAAUCUAAUAUACAUGAAGCAACUGUAUCGGGUACCAUUUGACAGAAAUUCAGAGAGAGUGAAACAUCUGCUCAAUGAGUAUGUGGAGAGAGUCUUGCAAAUGGAUGCUGCUGAAAUUCAACAUGAAUUUAUAUAUGUGGAUGAGGCUGGAUUUAACCUUGCAAAAACAAGAAGAAGAGUGAGAAAUGUAAUUGGGCACAGGGCAAUCACCAAUGUGCCAGGGCAGCGAGGGGGUAACAUCACCCUUUGCGCUGCUAUCACACAAAAUGGGGUCCUUGAAGCAGCUUCAGUGCAGGGGUGGUUUCGUCACACAAGGCGAUUCUUCCAACGGUGCCUUGACAAUGAAGACAUAGCCUGUGAUGUGGAUGAAAUCUUAUGGCCUGAUCCAGCCAGACGAAGAGACGGAUAGUUACAGUAUUCUUGUUGCUUUUACAGUAGUUUUCUUUCAUUUCUGUUUACUUUUACUUUACUUUUCUUCAGAGUCAAAGUGUAUGUACUGUAAUUCAUGCAGUCAUUUUUAUUUGUCUACGGAUUUUAUUUGUUUACAGUAAUUUAUAUCAUUGUUGGUUGAUUACUGUAACUGAUUAUGGUAAGAAAUACUGUAAGUAUUGAAAUAAAUACUUGAAAUAUUCAGUCUGCAGCAUCAAGUGUUGUGCAGUGCUUGGUAAGGUUAUAGUAGGCCUACAGUAUUUGUCUACAUUCUCCUUAUAUCUCAAAACAAAUCAUGAAUAAUGUUGUGAGUUUCUCACUAUUUUUUGUCACCUAAAUUAUCUCUUAAGAAUGUCUGGCCAAAAAUCUUUUUUUUUUUUUACAAAUGUGUUUUUUAUUUAUCACAGCAGUGUGAAACUGGCUGCAAUAGUGUAUGAUCAUUGAUGACUGUGUUGGUUAAAUGAAAACAAAUAGCAUUUUCACAAAUAUGUGUAUAUGUUUUGACUGAACUGUGUAUGUUUUGACUGAACUGUGUCAUUUUGCAAACAAUCUAGGAAUUUUGCUAAUUGAUUGUGGUGUUUGGAUAAUUGUGAUUAUAUU